GAACAUCCCCAUUGGAGGGGCAGCUUUGCCUUCCCUUCAUAUCUCAAUAUGCUGCGUGUUAACAUGGCUGCUCUGACUCCAUCCAUUUACCUCAAAAUCCUCACUUCUGCUUUUGGUGUACUUCUCAUCCUGCCCUUGUUUUCCGGAUCUCCUGGGUUACAAGUGUGCCUGCUCUCCUGCCUCUUCUUUCAGCGCCUCCACCUCUCCUGCCUCUGACACUCCUGAGACAGCAAGACCAACCCCUUCUCUUCCUCCUCCUCUUCAGUUUACAGAAGAUGAAGACAAGAAGGAUGAAGACCUUUAUGAUGAUCCACUUCUAUUUAAUAAGUAGUAAAUACAUUUUAUCUUGUGAUUUUUCUUUAUAACAUUUUCUUUUCUUUAGCUUUAUUUAUUGUAAAAAUAAAGUUUAUAACACAUAUAAUAUAAAAAAUAUAUGUUAAUUGACUGUUUAAGUUUUCAGUAUGGCUUCCCGUCAACACUAGGCUAUGAUUAGUUACGUUUUUAAGGAGUCAAAAGUUAUACUCACAUUUUCAACUGUGCAGGGGGUUGGCACUCCUAAUGCUUUGCAUUAUUCAAGAGUCAACUGUAUUUCCUUUAAGGUAAUUAACCAUAUUUCAACAUGGUUAGUCAUAUUAGCUAUUCUUCUUUUUGAUUUUUAGUACAUUAAUUGUAAAGAUAUUCACUUACACAUCAUAGCUGCUCAGUGAAUGGUUGAAUGACUUAAGGAAUCAUUGCAUGAAUUAAAGAUGGCCAAUAUAUCUUCUUGUGAACUUUGUUGGAUCAAAGUUGAAGAUUAUAAUUGCUGAUGUUUUAACAUUCUCAAAAAUCUUGUGAGAAUUAAAACAGCAUUGUUAUAAAUUUUUAUUUCAAAUGCUCUUUUAACAAAUGUGUUCCCUCUGAUUCCUAAAACCACCAUGCUGGGAACAAGAGUAAAUUUUACUUUUCCUAGUUUAUAGGUAAGGUAAUUAAAGCUUCUUGGAAAAGUUCCUUGACAGAGUCAAAGGCUAAAACCUGGACAGACUUAUCUAUAUAGAGCAUUCCUCACUUCCAGUUUUGCUGUUAUUCACCAAACCAUGAUUAUUUCGUGCAAUGGAAACAUUGAACUGUACAAUACUCUUAAAUUUCACUUAUUCUGAAAGGCAUUUACUCAUCCCAGCAUUCCCUAAAUUCAAAGGAGAACUUGAAUAACAACCUGGAAGACUCAACUACCUGACCGUUCCAGAGUUGACAAUGAUUUGGCUGGCUUUCAGCAGACACUUCUCUUUAAGUGUUACUUCACUGAACAAGACACUAUAUGAUAAUGCUAUUUCACUGACCUUCCCCUGCUUCCUACCACAGGUUUAAAUUAUCUGCAAUUUUUGUGAAAACAGUGCAAACCCCUGUGGAUAAGAGCUGAAAAGGAAUAUCAUUUAAUGAAAACCAGUGAUAACUUGAGGAAAAUUGGUUAAGAAAAGUCCAAAGUUUUCAACUUAAUUACUUAAAUGGAAGAAUGAAAAUGUUUUCAGAUAUUUUUUGUUUUGAUGUGAAUAAAUAAAUCAAUUUAAAAUUUAAGUUUUAACAAGUAAAUGGUUAUACCAUCCUAUAUCCUGUUUAAUAUGUUAUUUUUAUGCCGAAGUUCAGCUUAAGUAUCAUGUAGAGCUAUCAAUACUGGUGAUCUAAAGUUUACCUUUCAGCCGGGUGCAGUAGCUCAUGCUUGUAAUCCCAGCACUCUGGGAGGCUGAGGCAGGAGGAUCAUUUGAGGCCAGGAGACUAGCCUGGGCCACAUAGUGACACUCCAUCUCUAAAAAACAAAACAAAACAAAAUAAAAUAAAAUAAAUAAAAUAAAAUACAGAGAGAACUCAGAUCUACAUCAAAAAGGAAGAGUACUUGAAAAGAAAUGAAGGUAAAAUAAAAUUUAAAAAAAUUUAAAAUAACAUUUACCUUUUACUGACUUUGAUUUAGGAGAAGAUUAUAGUUCUUCAUUAGCAAUUGUAAGACAGAGGCAAUAGUCUAUGUUGGUGAGGGAAACAUAAAAUUUUGUUUUUUACUCUGAAGAUUAUUAUGGGAUUCUCUUUCUCACCUUGCCUCAUAUUUUCUCUGCCUGUCUCCAUCUCUCUCUCUCUCUCUCUCUCAAAUGCAGUAUUCCUGUUAAUUGUGAAGUAUCUACAGAUACAUAUUCUCUCUAGGCACACAUCUGUAAAUAUAAUUUAUUUGUUAUACAAAGAAACACAUCUCC
rnacentral:lncRNA from 1 species